UACGUAGGGGGCAAGCGUUGUCCGGAAUUAUUGGGCGUAAAGAGCGUGUAGGCAGCCAGAUAAGUCCGCUGUGAAAUCUCGAGGCUCAACUUCGAGCUGUCGGUGGAAACUGUCUGGCUAGAGUCCGGAAGAGGAGAAUGGAAUUCCUGGUGUAGCGGUGAAAUGCGCAGAUAUCAGGAAGAACACCCGUGGCGAAGGCGGUUCUCUGGGACGGUACUGACGCUGAGACGCGAAAGCGUGGGGAGCGAACAGG
rnacentral:rRNA from 1 species